AGUGAACGCUGGCGGUAGGCCUAACACAUGCAAGUCGAACGGCAGCACAGUAAGAGCUUGCUCUUACGGGUGGCGAGUGGCGGACGGGUGAGGAAUACAUCGGAAUCUACUUUUUCGUGGGGGAUAACGUAGGGAAACUUACGCUAAUACCGCAUAUGACCUACGGGUGAAAGCAGGGGAUCUUCGGACCUUGCGCGAUUGAAUGAGCCGAUGUCGGAUUAGCUAGUUGGCGGGGUAAAGGCCCACCAAGGCGACGAUCCGUAGCUGGUCUGAGAGGAUGAUCAGCCACACUGGAACUGAGACACGGUCCAGACUCCUACGGGAGGCAGCAGUGGGGAAUAUUGGACAAUGGGCGCAAGCCUGAUCCAGCCAUACCGCGUGGGUGAAGAAAGCCUUCGGGUUGUAAAGCCCUUUUGUUGGGAAAGAAAAGCAGCAGGUUAAUACCCCGCUGUUCUGACGGUACCCAAAGAAUAAGCACCGGCUAACUUCGUG
rnacentral:rRNA from 1 species